AUCCCUCAAAAAAAAAGUUAAGAUGCAACACGUCUAAACACCACUUUUUUUAAGUGAAGAGGGGUCUAGAACGACCCCGAGCUUUCAUUUAACACAAAGCGGUGGAAGUACAAAGCUCCUACAAGGACUCCAAAGUAAAAUACAUAACAAACAAGCCCCUGACUUUUACAUGGAGGACCCCAAACUGAAAGCAAGAAAUGCGAUCGGGUCCCUAGCAGCCACCGGCCGGAUUGAACCUCAUCGCCGCCGGGGACGAACCACUUGGUGUGAAGAAAUCGCCAUGGCCGCAACACCUGCACACCAUAGCCUCUGAACAACAGCUGGAUCUGCCUCCCAUAAGGCACGCACGCCGGGAGGAAUGGAGUCGGCCGCCUUUCGGCCAGAAGAAGCAGCGAACCAGCGGAGACCGGCAGCCAAUCGAGGGCGCCGUAGCUCCACCAUGGAAUCAACUGCUGAUGUGCACGAACUCGAUCUGCCGGCUUCAAGUAUCUGCAACGCCCCUGCUCCUCAUCCACCAGCAAAGUGACUUGAAAGAGCAAGCAGCAGCAGAGGGCCAUCCUCCAGAUCAGGGAAGACCUCAGGCUUAUUGGGGAAAGAGAGCUCGCAUCAGAUCCACUCCCAUCUGCCUCCAUCCACCAUGGAUGGCCGGCCUGGGAGGCUACUGGUGACCACCAAACACUGCCUGGAUGUGUUGAUGGGGAGCUCAAGUACGGCAUAACGCCAGACGCCACGGAGACAAGACACAACCUACACCUAAACCUAAGACUACUAUGAACAGAGGGAGACCGACCACCUAACCCAUCCUCGCGCCGGACGGCAGAGCCGCCGGAGAGAGAGAGGGAGAGGGGCGGUGACGGAGUGCACGAGGAGACUCUCAACAGGAGCAGGGAAGAGAAGGGUGACGAAUCUCCCCUCUUUCAAUCCAAAAAUUGCUUCUCCUUCCUCCCGCCGAGUCUCUUGCUCGCGCCCACCCCCUCCCUCCUAGCGUUGAUGGAAGAAACAUGGCCAGCCCUCGGCCUGGCGGCCGGCGACGCGGCCUUCCCGCCCCCGCCUCCCCGUGGCGUGGGGCGAGGCCGCGACGGCGCGACGAGGCCGCUCGAACCGUGUGCACCAGCAAGAAGGCCAGCUCGAACAAACAGGAUGCCCUGCAAAACGAUUUCGAACGAGGGGAGAUGCUAAUACUCUUAGAAUGGUCAUUUGAGCCAACUGUUUCAAUCGAGAGAACAAUUUUCUACUGAAUUCAGGAGUGCUCUGCAAUGCCAUAUGCCAUUGCUCAGAGGAGAUACUGUGAGAAAGGUACUGGAGAUGAACAAGCAAGGAGCCCUGUACUUGUUCUCACAGGCAGCAGCACGAGAAGGGGACCUCCGGUGGCAGCACACGAGCAGGGGAGCUCCGAACGGCAGCACGAGCAGGGGAGGAGCAGCAAGUUGUAGAGGAGCAGCAGAGGGAGAUCGAGCUUGAGGUCCAGGCCUGCGCGAGUACUUGAGUUCCAGGCCCGCGGGAGAGCUUGAGGUCCAGGACGAUCUUGAGGGGAUAUCGGCGGCGCAGGCCUGGCGGUGGCGGCGGAGCAGGUCCUGGGUGGCGGAGGAGCAAGCAAUUGGGCGGCCUGGGCGGCGCCGGAGCAAGCAAUUGGGCGGUGGGGCUCCUGGGCAACGACGGGCACUGGCGGUGGCGGCGGCGCAGGUCCUGGGUGGCGGAGGAGCAAGCAAUUGGGCGGCCUGGGCGGAGGAGGAUUAAGCCCUAGACGGCGCCGGAGCAAGCAAUUGGGCGGCGCGGCUCCUGGUCGACGACGGGCCCUGGCGACGUGCGCGGGGGAUGGGCGGAGGAAGAAGGCACACGGCGACCUUUUUGUAACAGAUUUGAAGCUGCGGGGAUGUUUUUGCAAAAUUUGCAGUACACUAUGCUGGAGACAACUUUUCUCGGACGGAAGGAGUACAUGUGAGUCUCACCUCUUUAGCCAAGAUUUCAUUGUGAUUUAUCAUGUUAUGCCAUAUAUC